rnacentral:rRNA from 1 species
CCCUUAGAUGUUCUGGGCCGCACGCGUGCUACACUGAGUGGAUCAGCGGGUCAGGUUGCGCGAAAGUGUUUCCUAAUCUUUAAAUCCGCUCGUGAUGGGGAUUGACGGUUGCAAUUUUCCGUCAUGAACGAGGAAUACCUUGUAAGCGCGGGUCAUCAUCCCGCGCUGAAUACGUCCCUGCCCUUUGUACACACCGCCCGUCGCUCCUACCGAUUGAGUGGUCCGGUGAAGCCUCGGGAUUGUGGCGGUUGCCUUUAUUGGUGGCCGCCGCGAGAACUUGUCUAAACCUUAUCAUCUAGAGGAAGGUGAAGUCGUAACA